rnacentral:rRNA from 1 species
AUUGAACGCUGGCGGCAGGCCUAACACAUGCAAGUCGAGCGGAGCGGCGGACGGGUGAGUAAUGCCUAGGAAUCUGCCUGGUAGUGGGGGAUAACGUCCGGAAACGGGAGCUAAUACCGCAUACUCGCAGAUGAGCCUAGGGCGGCUUAGCUAGUUGGUGGGGUAAAGGCCGACAAAGGCGACGAGCCGUAACUGGUCUGAGAGGAUGAUCAGUCACACUGGAACUGAGACACGGCCCAGACUCCUACGGGAGGCAGCAGUAGGGAAUAUUGGACAAUGGGCGAAAGCCUGAUCCAGCCAGGCCGCGUGUGUGAAGAAGGUCUUCGGAUUGUAAAGCACUGUAAUUUGGGAGGCGUUACCAACAGAGUAAGCACCGGCUAACUUCGUGCCAGCCGCCGCGGUAAUAC